rnacentral:rRNA from 1 species
UCACCACUCAAGCCUCGCUUGGUAUUGGGCAACGCGGUCCGCCGCGUGCCUCAAAUCGUCCGGCUGGGUCUUCUGUCCCCUGAGCGUUGUGGAAACUAUUCGCUAAAGGGUGUUKCGGGAGGCUACGCCGUAAAACAACCCCAUUUCUAAGGUUGACCUCGGAUCAGGUAGGGAUACCCGCUGAACUUAAGCAUAUCAAUAAGCGGAGGAGAAGAGAGAACCAACAGGGGAUUGCCUCAGUAACGGCGAGUGAAGCGGCAAAAGCUCAAAUUUGAAAUCUGACGUCCCCGACGUCCGAGUUGUAAUUUGGAGAGGCAUCUUCUGGAGGGGCCCAGCCUAUGUUCCUUGGAACAGGACGUCAUAGAGGGUGAGAAUCCCGUUCUUGGCUGGAUGUCCCCACCUGUAUGUAGUGUCUUCUACGAGUCGAGUUGUUUGGGAAUGCAGCUCAAAAUGGGUGGUAAAUUUCAUCUAAAGCUAAAUACUGGCGAGAGACCGAUAGCGCACAAGUAGAGUGAUCGAAAGAUGAAAAGCACUUUGAAAAUAGAGUCAAACAGUACGUGAAAUUGUUGAAAGGGAAGCGCUUGAGACCAGACUCAGCCUCGGGCAAACAACCCUCCUUCUGGUGGGUGCACUUGCCCUUGGCUGGGCCAGCAUCAGUUGGGAGGGCGGGAUAAAGGCCCAGGGAAUGUGGCUCCUCUCGGGGAGAGUUUAUAGCCCAGGGUGCCAUGCCGCCCCUCCCGACUGAGGACCGCGCUUCGGCAAGGAUGCUGGCGUAAUGGUCUUCAGCGACCCGUCUUGAAACACGGACCAAGGG